rnacentral:lncRNA from 1 species
GAUGGCUGGCUGGCCGCUCUGAGAUGAGCAACUGUUAAUUGUACACAUUUAAUAUGAAACACAAAUCAGGGAUGCUUGUCAGCUUGAGAGUGGUGCAUCCCAGCUCUCCCUCAACUGUAGAAACGGGUUCAAUCAUGUGUCCUGGGAUGAAAGAAAGAAAAUGGGAGCAAUCCAGUGCUUUGUGAGGACAGAAUGAACAACCGUGCUGGGUUAUAAAGCUCCCCGUCAGAAGCCAAGACGCAGUCCUUAGAGGAGGACAAGCCACCUUGAACCUUUCGCCACUCUUCAUUUGCUACGAGACGGACCCAGAGACCGGCUGUGCACGCUGAUGAACCUGGGGCAAGGACUGACCGCAAAGACUCCACCCAACACUGCUGCCUAAAAUUCCUGGGCUGUCAAUGUAGAGAAGAUUGCUUCCAACGCAGGCAAAAGUAGCUUUUGUGCCUCCAACUCACAUCGGUCAAACACAUCUGGCUUUCAGUCAUCCUCAUCCUCAAUCUGAAACCGUUUCUUCCUGUGGACUCUUGGCGUUCCCGACACUGCUGCCAUGGGAAUGACAGUGGCCUCCUCUGCAGUGAUGUAAGACACAGUCGGGAACCGGCCCUGCAUCGUCUCAACAGCCCUCACGCCACACGGUGGCACAGGCCUCAUCUGGGCACAUGUCCAUCUCGUUCACCGUGGCCAGCAGCUCCUGGUAGGCCUUCAGGGCCAGGUGCAUCCUGCCAAAGUGGACGGCAAAGGGUGAGAUGGAAGGGAGGCAACUGAAGGCUCUGUCAAACAUAACCUUGAACAAGGAAA